GAUUAUGGCUCAGGAUGAACGCUGGCGGCGUGCCUAACACGUGCAAGUCGAGCGAUUACUUCGGUAAAGAGCGGCGGACGGGUGAGUAACGCGUGGGUAACCUGCCUCAUACACAUGGAUAACAUACCGAAAGGUAUGCUAAUACAGGAUAAUAUAAGAGAUUCACAUGGAUUUCUUAUCAAAGCUCCGGCGGUAUGAGAUGGACCCGCGUCUGAUUAGCUAGUUGGUAAGGUAGUGGCUUACCAAGGCGACGAUCAGUAGCCGACCUGAGAGGGUGAUCGGCCACAUUGGAACUGAGACACGGUCCAAACUCCUACGGGAGGCAGCAGUGGGGAAUAUUGCACAAUGGGCGAAAGCCUGAUGCAAGCAACGCCGCGUGAGUGAUGAAGGCCUUCGGGUCGUAAAACUCUGUCCUCAAGGAAGAUAAUGACGGUACUUGAGGAGGAAGCCCCGGCUAACUACGUGCCAGCAGCAGC
rnacentral:rRNA from 1 species